rnacentral:rRNA from 1 species
GACGAACGCUGGCGGCGUGCCUAAUACAUGCAAGUCGAACGCUUCUUUCCUCCCGAGUGCUUGCACUCCAUUGGAAAGAGGAGUGGCGGACGGGUGAGUAACACGUGGGUAACCUACCCAUCAGAGGGGGAUGACACUUGGAAACAGGUGCUAAUACCGCAUAACAGUUUAUGCCGCAUGGCAUAAGAGUGAAAGGCGCUUUCGGGUGUCGCUGAUGGAUGGACCCGCGGUGCAUUAGCUAGUUGGUGAGGUAACGGCUCACCAAGGCCACGAUGCAUAGCCGACCUGAGAGGGUGAUCGGCCACACUGGGACUGAGACACGGCCCAGACUCCUACGGGAGGCAGCAGUAGGGAAUCUUCGGCAAUGGACGAAAGUCUGACCGAGCAACGCCGCGUGAGUGAAGAAGGUUUUCGGAUCGUAAAACUCUGUUGUUAGAGAAGAACAAGGACGUUAGUAACUGAACGUCCCCUGACGGUAUCUAACCAGAAAGCCACGGCUAACUACGUG